rnacentral:misc_RNA from 1 species
UUAUUCAACUUUCCAAUCUCA